rnacentral:rRNA from 1 species
CAGCAGCCACGGGAAUACGAGGGGGGCGAGCGUUGUUCGGAAUUAUUGGGCGUAAAGGGUGCGUAGGCGGUUUGACAAGUCUUAUGUGAAAUCUCUGGGCUCAACCCAGAGUCUGCAUGGGAAACUGUCGGGCUUGAGUAUGGGAGAGGUGAGUGGAAUUUCCGGUGUAGCGGUGAAAUGCGUAGAUAUCGGAAGGAACACCUGUGGCGAAAGCGGCUCACUGGACCAUUACUGACGCUGAUGCACGAAAGCUAGGGGAGCAAACAGGAUUAGAUACCCCAGUAGUCCCUGUCUCUUAUAC